rnacentral:misc_RNA from 1 species
AAAAAUAAUCUGACGUAAUUUCGGAAUUUCCAGUAUCUGAUAGUAAUUUUCCUUAAGGAAUUUUGAAAUGAAUCAUUGAAAAAAAAAGAAGAGAAAAUGGAAGAUAGAAGUUUAUCAAAGGAUGAAGAUGUUGAGCCUGAUGGGGGAACCAUUCACUGGCAAACUUUUAAAUUUUCCGACUGUCACACUGCUAUGGAUGAUGACAGACAACUCUCUAGUGAUCUUGAAAGGCAUCUCAACCUUAAUUCUGACACGGUAGGGGAGGUAAUGAUGGCAAGAGGUCCAGAAGGGCCAGUGGUUCCGAAGACAGAAUACAAAGCCCAGGGUUGCAUGUUUGCUGGUCAGUCGGGAGCUGCCCAGGCCGGAGGAUUUGGUCUUGGGGUGUCAUCAACGUACAACCCUUCCAGCUUCCCAGGAUUAUAUCAACCGUCUUCUAGGGCAUCGCCACUGGCACACCCAGAGAGUCAUAAUGUGACAUGGGGACAGCCUUCAAAUCCAGGCUUGUGGAGGCAAGAGGACUCUAUGUCUUCACUGGAUCUUGAGAUGGAUAAAGAACCAUCUAUAACUCCAUUUAAUCAGGUCAGAUCUCCUCCCAGCAUGCAAAACUAUUCGAAAGGUGGAUUCCAAAGUGGCAUCCCUGGUGACAAUCAGAAAAAAUACAUGCAUGAAGAUAACCUGAGGCGAUAUGACGGGGAUGCAAGUUAUGACUUAAGCAACCAACAGCACCAGAGGUGGCAGCACAACGUUCACCUGCAACAGUCGGCACCUUCACCAGUUACCACGGCAACACCUGUUGAACAUGAUGCCAUGGUUGUUGAAGAGACAUAUACAUUCGAACUUGAUGAGUUUGGAGAAGGGCCUUUACAUACACUGUCAGCCGUCACAGACAAAACAACACUAGCCAAGUCUAUUGAAUUACUUCAAAAGUGUGAUGUUGUGAAACAGUGUAUAAAUCUACAAAACAAGCUCAAGCAGACACCUUUGUUUCUUUCGGUAUUACAAAGGAAUAUCCCAUUUAUUGGAUGGUUACUGGAUAAUGGAGCAGAUCCAAACAUUCAAGGAACUCUGUAUACAGAUCGUGAUGAGUAUAUAUGGCGGUCACCCUUACACCUCGCAGCAAUGAAGGGAGAUGAAUGGCUAUGUAUUGUGCGUUUAUUGCUGUCAAAAUCUCCACAAACCAACAUCAACUUGUUCAGCCAUGGAGAUAAGUUAUCUGCCCUUCAUUUGGCCCUGAAACAACACACCGACAUAAACAGUUGUAGACAGGUGAUCCUGGAGUUGAUCAAUAAGGGAGCUGAUAUCAGUCUAAGGGAACAGGCUAGCAGCAAAACUCCAUUCAUGUUGGCAUUGGAAACUCGUGAUCUCAACCUUGUGCAAGAAUUUCUCAACAGAUUCCCUGCUGACAGACGACGAGCCAUACUGCAAGAGCAAGCACGCUCAGGAGACACGUGCCUUCACAUCGCAGCCGGGUUGUCACGAAUAAACUCUCAAGAUAAGGAAAAGUUGCUCCGGUUCCUGGUGACACACGGGGCAAAUGGAAAUGUAACCAAUAAUGUGAAAGAACUUCCAAGAGACUUUGCUAGAAAAGAGGUACUUGAAACAUGUUUUAUGACAAAACAUGGACUUGACAUUUUGUCGACAUGACACCACAUCGACCUGACAUUUUAUCAACAGGACAGAAUGUCAACAUGACUAAACAUAGAGAAAACACUGACAGAACAUCAACAAUACUCAACUUGCUCGAUGACAACAUGAUUUUGCAAAAGUUACCAGAAAUGUAACUUAAUGAAUUGGGACAACAUUCGUAAAACCUGAUGUAAUCCUCAUCAAAUGGCCAGUAUGUGCUGUAAAUAUGGACAUUUGUUAUGUACACAGCUGGUAUAUGCCAUGUAAAAGGACAGCUAUAAUAUACACAGAAUAAUAUGCUGUGUAAUGUAUCCAGCUCAGGCAUUCAUGCUAGACUACACAUUAUGACAAGAUUGGUAAAUCUGAUGCAAGACUACUUUAUAAAAUGAUAAUUCAAUACAUUAGUUGCUUAUUCUGUUUUACAUGUAUGUGAAUAGGGGCAAGUAAACUUUAACUUUAUGAUCCUCUAAAAAAGUGUACAGAUUUUAAGCAUAUUACUUAAAGGUGUUCUAGUCUUUUAUGGGGCAAAAAGCAUGUUUUAUUUUUUGUUUUAAGGUAAAUUGUUCAUUUAGUUUAUACAAUAAUUGAAAUUUUCUGUUAAAACCUUUCAAAAAUCACAACUUGUGAUACAUUGUGAAUGUAUAAAUGUAUAAUAAAUUCAUUCCUUUAUUUGGAGAAAUCCAUUGAAGAUUAUUACAGAGUAAAUUGUACAUAUUAUGUUAGAGCAAAUGGCCUUGUGUCUGAAGGUUAAAGAGACAAAAAAAUUAUCAUAACUAUUAUAUGUGUUAUAAGCAGGCUUUUCUUCAGACCCACCCCACCCACCCACAAA